GAUGAACGCUAGCGGCAGGCCUAAUACAUGCAAGCCGAACGGCAAGUUUGAUAGCAAUAUUGGACCUAGAGUGGCGCAAGGGUGCGUAACACGUAUGCAACCUGCCCGCGACAGGAGGAUAGCUCCCCGAAAGGGGAAUUAACCCCCCAUAACCCAAUAGGAAGGCAUCGGAUAAUGGUUAAACGCCAGGGGUUCCGGAAUGGGCAUGCGGUUGAUUAGCUAGUUGGCGGGGUAAAGGCCAACCAAGGCGGUGAUCAAUAGGGGUUCUGAGAGGAAGGUCCCCCACACUGGCACUGAGAUACGGGCCAGACUCCUACGGGAGGCAGCAGUAGGGAAUAUUGGACAAUGGUUGCAAGACUGAUCCAGCCAUGCCGCGUGCAGGAAGAAGGCCUUCUGGGUCGUAAACUGCUUUUUCCUGUGGAUAAAAUACCCGUGCGCGGGGAAUUGAAGGUAACAGGGGAAUAAGCCACGGCUAACUACGUG
rnacentral:rRNA from 1 species